rnacentral:rRNA from 1 species
UACGUAGGGUGCAAGCGUUAAUCGGAAUUACUGGGCGUAAAGCGUGCGCAGGCGGUUUUGUAAGUCAGAUGUGAAAUCCCCGGGCUUAACCUGGGAACUGCGUUUGAAACUACAAGGCUAGAGUGUGGCAGAGGGGGGUGGAAUUCCACGUGUAGCAGUGAGAUGCGUAGAGAUGUGGAGGAACACCGAUGGCGAAGGCAGCCCCCUGGGUUAACACUGACGCUCAGGCACGAAAGCGUGGGGAGCAAACAGG